rnacentral:rRNA from 1 species
AUACGUAGGUGACAAGCGUUAUCCGGAUUUACUGGGCGUAAAGGGCGUGUAGGCGGUCUUGCAAGUCAGAAGUGAAAUUCCUGAGCUCAACUCGGGCGCUGCUUCUGAAACUGCAGGACUUGAGUGCUGGAGGGGAUAGCGGAAUUCCUAGUGGAGCGGUAAAAUGCGCAGAUAUUAGGAAGAACACCGGUGGCGAAGGCGGCUAUCUGGACAGGAACUGACGCUGAGGCGCGAAAGCGUGGGGAGAAAACAGGAUUAGAUACCCUGGUAGUCCACGCCGUAAACGAUGAGUGCUAAGUGUUGGAGGGUUUCCGCCCUUCAGUGCUGCAGCUAACGCAUUAAGCACUCCGCCUGGGGAGUACGGCCGCAAGGCUGAAACUCAAAGGAAUUGACGGGG